rnacentral:rRNA from 1 species
UACGUAGGGUGCGAGCGUUAAUCGGAAUUACUGGGCGUAAAGCGUGCGCAGGCGGUUUGUUAAGCCAGAUGUGAAAGCCCCGGGCUCAACCUGGGAACUGCGUUUGGUACUGGCAAGCUAGAGUACGGCAGAGGGGGGUGGAAUUCCACGUGUAGCAGUGAAAUGCGUAGAGAUGUGGAGGAACACCGAUGGCGAAGGCAGCCCCCUGGGCCGAUACUGACGCUGAAGCACGAAAGCGUGGGGAGCAAACAGG